CUAUAUUUGUUGGUUCAGUGUCUUAAGAACUCAAAUAUUAUUGUGUUGUCAUCAACUUCUUCUCUUGUAUGAACCACGAGUUAGAAGUUAAAUAAUUGCACUAAAUCG
rfam:Cicer arietinum chromosome Ca4, whole genome shotgun sequence.